GGGCCCGCAGGGAAGUGGGGCUGCUCUCGGUCAUGGGCGACGGAGAGGAGCCAUAUUUGUUGCAUUUGUUGCAUGUGGAAAACCCAGAUGUGCCUCAGACGAACUGCACGGGAAAAAAAAAAAAUUACAGGCUUCGCAGGCAGCUGCGGAGUUCCCUGUGUGGGGUUUCUGGCCGAGACAUUGUCGGGAAGGGAAUCGAAGCUGAAGGGUGUGAAGGGCGAGCCAGGAAUGCACAGACCUUUGUGUGUUUUAGGCGAUCCCUGCUCAUUCCGCGGAGCCCUUGUGUGGGGAAGGUGCAAAUGGUGGGGGGCAGACCCACCUCGCACCUCCGGGCCCGCCGACGCCGCCGGCUCGACCGUGUUCCUAGGGGCCUUUCGCCCCCCGAGUAAAAUUGCUUUGUUGUUUUGAACAGCUUUCAGAUGGUGGUACAGGUUCCAUCCGUUGCGCAUAUCUUGAUCUUACAGAAUCUGCCGUUUAAGUGCAGUUCUGGGUUUUCCGAUGGCCAUUUUUGAAAUUUUGAAACCCGAAAAGUGGUUUUAAACGGAUACUCGGAAUCUAGGUUUUUUUUAGAGUCCUUUUGAAUAGUAAAAUGAGAAAUAAUUGCUAGCAGUUUAACCUCAAGAUCUUUUCACAUGAUAAAUGGGGGAGGGGAAGACAGAAAAUAUGCAAGACCCUGGUUUGAGAUUGAGUAAAGGUCAUAGAUACCCUAAGUUCUAGACUUGCUUAAAAGACGAAGCUAAUAUCCCACUUGGCGAGAUCAGAUAACUAGUGCUUUAAAAUUUAAAGUAACCAGUGGCCAUUUUAACUUCACUAAUGUUUCUUUGAGGAGUUAAUUUUUAAUUGUUCAAAAUUGUAAAAGAUAUUUCUAGCUGGCGAAGGAAAUUUUCAGGUAACUUACAAGAUUAAAAUCGAUUUGAUUGCUGAUUGUUCUGAACAAGUACAUCUUUUAUUUGAGGGACGCCAUUUUGAAGACUGAUACCUUGACAUUUUAUCCUUGGGGAUAAAGGAAUCUUUGGGAAACCUCUGUGUUUCAAAUAGCAAAAUGUCAGCACUCCAGAGGCCUGCACGGUGUAACGGACGGUGGAAGCUUUUGCACCCAGUCAGCUUGAAGAGUCAAAUGGACCCUACUACUGAGAAAUCAAGAUGGCAACCCACUAUGGGGAAGUGUGGAAAUGGAUUAACACAAGAAUGCUAUACAACCAAGACAGGGCUCUUUUAACAUGGAUUCCAUGAAGUGAAUGAAGACAAUAGGUUUCUCACCCAACAUAAAUGGACAGUGGAUUUGACUUUCUAAAGACUUUUUGUAUCAUUAGAAGAAGUACAUUUUUGACAUUUGGUGAAGAAAGAUGGCACAUUAACAUAGGUGAUAGUAUCCUUGGAAUUUUUUGCAAUUUGAUUUGUAUGGAAUCAUGGAAUGUUAACUUUAAUAAAAUUUCUAACACUUCAAAAUUUCU